rnacentral:rRNA from 2 species
GACGGAGGGGGCUAGCGUUGUUCGGAAUUACUGGGCGUAAAGCGCACGUAGGCGGCGUUGCAAGUUGGGGGUGAAAUCCCGGGGCUCAACCCCGGAAUUGCCUCCAAGACUGUGGCGCUGGAGUCCGGAAGAGGAGAGCGGAAUUCCCAGUGUAGAGGUGAAAUUCGUAGAUAUUGGGAAGAACACCAGUGGCGAAGGCGGCUCUCUGGUCCGGUACUGACGCUGAGGUGCGAAAGCGUGGGGAGCAAACAGG